AGGGGCAGCAUUUUAGUUUGCUUGCAAACUGAAGAUGGCGACCGGCGCACGGGUGAGUAACACGUAUCCAACCUGCCGAUAACUCCGGGAUAGCCUUUCGAAAGAAAGAUUAAUACCGGAUGGCAUACGAAUAUCGCAUGAUAUUUUUAUUAAAGAAUUUCGGUUAUCGAUGGGGAUGCGUUCCAUUAGUUUGUUGGCGGGGUAACGGCCCACCAAGACUACGAUGGAUAGGGGUUCUGAGAGGAAGGUCCCCCACAUUGGAACUGAGACACGGUCCAAACUCCUACGGGAGGCAGCAGUGAGGAAUAUUGGUCAAUGGGCGAGAGCCUGAACCAGCCAAGUAGCGUGAAGGAUGAAGGCUCUAUGGGUCGUAAACUUCUUUUAUAUGGGAAUAAAGUUUUCCACGUGUGGAAUUUUGUAUGUACCAUAUGAAUAAGGAUCGGCUAACUCCGUGCCAGCAGCCGCGGUAAUACGGAGGAUCCGAGCGUUAUCCGGAUUUAUUGGGUUUAAAGGGAGCGUAGGUGGAUUGUUAAGUCAGUUGUGAAAGUUUGCGGCUCAACCGUAAAAUUGCAGUUGAAACUGGGAGUCUUGAGUACAGUAGAGGUGGGCGGAAUUCGUGGUGUAGCGGUGAAAUGCUUAGAUAUCACGAAGAACUCCGAUUGCGAAGGCAGCUCACUAGACUGUCACUGACACUGAUGCUCGAAAGUGUGGGUAUCAAACAGG
rnacentral:rRNA from 1 species